rnacentral:rRNA from 1 species
CCUGGCAGUCAGAGGCGAUGAAGGACGUGCUAAUCUGCGAUAAGCGUCGGUAAGGUGAUAUGAACCGUUAUAACCGGCGAUUUCCGAAUGGGGAAACCCAGUGUGAUUCGUCACACUAUCAUUAACUGAAUCCAUAGGUUAAUGAGGCGAACCGGGGGAACUGAAACAUCUAAGUACCCCGAGGAAAAGAAAUCAACCGAGAUUCCCCCAGUAGCGGCGAGCGAACGGGGAGGAGCCCAGAGCCUGAAUCAGUGUGUGUGUUAGUGGAAGCGUCUGGAAAGGCGCGCGAUACAGGGUGACAGCCCCGUACACAAAAAUGCACAUGCUGUGAGCUCGAUGAGUAGGGCGGGACACGUGGUAUCCUGUCUGAAUAUGGGGGGACCAUCCUCCAAGGCUAAAUACUCCUGACUGACCGAUAGUGAACCAGUACCGUGAGGGAAAGGCGAAAAGAACCCCGGCGAGGGGAGUGAAAAAGAACCUGAAACCGUGUACGUACAAGCAGUGGGAGCCUCUUUAUGGGGUGACUGCGUACCUUUUGUAUAAUGGGUCAGCGACUUAUAUUCUGUAGCAAGGUUAACCGAAUAGGGGAGCCGAAGGGAAACCGAGUCUUAACUGGGCGUUAAGUUGCAGGGUAUAGACCCGAAACCCGGUGAUCUAGCCAUGGGCAGGUUGAAGGUUGGGUAACACUAACUGGAGGACCGAACCGACUAAUGUUGAAAAAUUAGCGGAUGACUUGUGGCUGGGGGUGAAAGGCCAAUCAAACCGGGAGAUAGCUGGUUCUCCCCGAAAGCU